CUGCAGUGAUGACUUUCUUAGGACACCUUUGGAUUAAAUCAUGAAAACAACACCGAAUUCUGAGCAGC
rnacentral:snoRNA from 1 species